CGGAAGGUCCGGCGUUAUCCGGAUUUAUUGGGUUUAAAGGGAGCGUAGGCCGCGUUUUAAGCGUGUUGUGAAAUGUAGACGCCCAACGUCUGCAUCGCAGCGCGAACUGGGACGCUUGAGUACGCGCAACGUUGGCGGAAUUCGUCGUGUAGCGGUGAAAUGCUUAGAUAUGACGAGGAACUCCGAUUGCGAAGGCAGCUGACGGGAGCGGCACUGACGCUUAAGCUCGAAGGUGCGGGUAUCAAACAGGAUU
rnacentral:rRNA from 1 species